rnacentral:rRNA from 1 species
CAUAAUGUCAUUCAUUUGAUGUUUUGGGGAAUUAGGACUGUUACCUUGAAAAAAUUAGAGUGUUUAAAGCAGGCUAACGCUUGAAUACAUUAGCAUGGAAUAAUGAAAUAGGACAUCGCAUUCUAUUUUGUUGGUUUCUAGGAUCGAUGUAAUGAUUAAUAGGGAUAGUUGGGGGCAUUAGUAUUCAAUUGUCAGAGGUGAAAUUCUUGGAUUUAUUGAAGACUAACUACUGCGAAAGCAUUUGCCAAGGAUGUUUUCAUUAAUCAAGAACGAAAGUUAGGGGAUCGAAGACGAUCAGAUACCGUCGUAGUCUUAACCAUAAACUAUGCCGACUAGGGAUCGGAUGAUGCUGAUUUUUUAAUGACUCAUUCGGCACCUUACGGGAAACCAAAGCGUUUGGGUUCCGGGGGGAGUAUGGUCGCAAGGCUGAAACUUAAAGGAAUUGACGGAAGGGCACCACCAGGGGUGGAGCCUGCG